UACGGGGGGGUGCAAGCGUUACUCGGAAUUACUGGGCGUAAAGGGCGCGUAGGCGGCCUGUUAAGUCGAACGUGAAAUCCCCGGGCUCAACCCGGGAACUGCGUCCGAUACUGGCAGGCUUGAAUCCGGGAGAGGGAUGCGGAAUUCCAGGUGUAGCGGUGAAAUGCGUAGAUAUCUGGAGGAACACCGGUGGCGAAGGCGGCAUCCUGGACCGGCAUUGACGCUGAGGCGCGAAAGCCAGGGGAGCAAACGGG
rnacentral:rRNA from 1 species